UACGAAAACAAUAGUCAAGUGAGGCGGUUAGGAACACCCGUCAGGCAGUCCCUCGCCUCAACCCAAGCCUGGCCUAGAUGGUGCAGCCGGCCGUUGGUUCUGCGGCAGUUUCCCCGCCCUGUCUCGGUCAAGGGUACCGGGCUAGAAGCACAAACAAACACAAACGCGCAAAACACCAAGGCCUAGUAAAACAUUUUUAAAAUCCACGCCAGCGAGCGGCAGGGGUUGGGGAUACGCAGGCGGGGCAGGGCAGGGACAGGCAAGGGGCGGCAGCCCGGACACUCACUUGCUACAAACUUUCCCUUCUCCCCUCCCUCCAGUCCGGCAGGGGCGCAGAGAGAGCCAGCCGGGAGAGGGGCGCUAAGGUCAGCAGCCUGAGGCGCCCGGGCAGCCUGCCUGGUGUACAGAAAGAAGGCUAGUCGCGGGGUUCCCCGACCUCUGGGAGGGGAUUCCCUCCUCCUUCCCCGGCCAGGUGUCAGCCGUUUGCCGCCGCGCUUUGCUGUUCAAACCAUCGCGCCAGAGCCCACGAGGACGGGUGUGCGUAGCGAGGACGGGAAGGAAGGGAAAGGGGGUGGCGAAGAGCGUGGUGCCCCUUACUCGUAGUCCCUGAAGAUCUCGUUGGUGAUUCUGCAGUAGAAGACGUGCUCGUCGGGUCGCAGCUUCUGUCGGGACUCUCCCCCCCUCCCGAUCCCGCUUCCUCGUUUGAUGUUUAAUGAGGGAUCCCCUCCAGCUGGGAGCCUGCUGGAUGAGCUUCCCCUCCUGUCAAGAGCUAGGGGAGAGUGCCUUUUUCGGUCUUCCCAGAUAGGUCCGCGAGACAGAUCGACCCUUCUAAGACAGACGAAACUAAAGUUACCAUGCAGAGAUGCCAUGACUGGGUCCAGACAGCAUGACAGACCAACAAGGAGCUCCUCCUCUCACACUCUGGUCACUGAAGAACUGGGGAACCACCAACUGAUGCCAUAUGAAUGUCAGAACAUAGUUAUACUAGAGAACCUUGUAUAAGUAAAUUUGUUCAAGCGCUUUUGUAUCAACAUCUUCUUCCAAGAAUACAUCAUAGCACAAUGGUACUGUUUCUACCCACUGGUUGAACUGAAUAUCCACCUGAAAAGAAAUUGAAACAAAAGGGGUUUCACACUUGAUCCAGUUUCCAGGGCAUACAAACCCCAUAACUACUAACGAAAGCAUGGAGCAAAAGGGCAUCUUUUGUGCAUUAGUCACACUGAAUGGCAUUUUUCAGUGCAAAGACAGUAUGGAUAAAAUCUAAAUAAAAUAUUGUUGAACUUUUGGAUCAUUA